rnacentral:rRNA from 1 species
AGUGGCGCACGGGUGAGUAACACGUAGGUAAUCUACCUUUGGAUGGGGAAUAACAACCGGAAACGGUUGCUAAUACCGCAUAAUGCAGCGGCACCUAAUGGUGACAGUUGUUAAAGCGGGGGAUCGAAAGACCUCGCGUCUGAAGAGGAGCCUGCGGCGGAUUAGCUAGUUGGUAAGGUAACGGCUUACCAAGGCGACGAUCCGUAGCCGGCCUGAGAGGGCGGUCGGCCACACUGACACUGACAUACGGGUCAGACUCCUACGGGAGGCAGCAGUCGGGAAUUUUGGGCAAUGGGCGAAAGCCUGACCCAGCAACGCCGCGUGAAGGAUGAAAUCCCUCGGGAUGUAAACUUCGCAAGAACGGGAAGAAUAAGCGAUAGUUAAUAUCUGUCGUGAUGACGGUACCGUUUGUAAGCUCCGGCUAACUCCGUGCCAGCAGCCGCGGUAAUACGGGGGGAGCAAGCGUUGUUCGGAUUUACUGGGCGUAAAGGGCGCGUAGGCGGCCAGCGCAAGUCAGUUGUGAAAUCUCCGAGCUUAACUCGGAAAGGUCAACUGAUACUGCGCGGCUAGAGUGCAGAAGGGGCAACUGGAAUUCUCGGUGUAGCGGUGAAAUGCGUAGAUAUCGAGAGGAACACCUGCGGCGAAGGCGGGUUGCUGGGCUGACACUGACGCUGAAGCGCGAAAGCUAGAGGAGCGAACGGGAUUAGAUACCCCGGUAGUCCUAGCCUUAAACGAUGAAUGCUUGGUGUCUGGGGUUAUAAAGUCCCCGGGUGCCGUCGCUAACGCUUUAAGCAUUCCGCCUGGGGAGUACGGUCGCAAGACUGAAACUCAAAGGAAUUGACGGGGACCCGCACAAGCGGUGGAGCAUGUGGUUUAAUUCGACGCAACGCGAAGAACCUUACCUGGGCUAGAAUGCCUCUGACAACCCUAGAGAUAGGGCCUCCAAGGUAAAACUUGGCAGAGUGCAAGGUGCUGCAUGGCUGUCGUCAGCUCGUGUCGUGAGAUGUUGGGUUAAGUCCCGCAACGAGCGCAACCCUUAUCAAUAGUUGCCAGCGGUUCGGCCGGGCACU